GGUCAUGUAGUUUAUAAAGAAUGAAAGGUUUGCGUCUUUUUGGUGUGCAGUUUUGUAUCUUGGCCUC
rnacentral:tRNA from 1 species